rnacentral:rRNA from 1 species
GUUUUCAAACUUAAUUCCGUAUAGGACAACACGAAACCAGAUGAGCUACAUACCUUUCUUUUUUAGAGGAAUUGUUUAGUGUAUCAUCACUAAUUAUUAAAAGGUAUUUAGGGGUGAUAGGCCUUUCAAAUCUGGUGAUAUCUUGAUGGGGAUUAAAUAUAUUUAGUAUAUCAAACAAUCUAAAAAUGGUUAGGUUUUUAGAGAAUAUAAAUUUAAUUCUAAAAUGGAUAGAUAUAAUAAAAUAUCCUAUGCUCUUGAGCUUAACAUUCAUAUAUUAACAAUUUAUAAAAUUAAAAUCCUCAUUUAGAUUUAAAUACCAAAUCUAAUUUAUUAUGAAAACACUAGUAUAAUAUAAAUUUUGAUAAAGGAACUCGGCAAAAAAAAUUCUCGACUGUUUAACAAAAACAAGUUUUAAGAAUUUAAUUUAAGAUUACCCCUGCUCAAUGAUUUUUAAAUAGCCGCAGUACCCUGACUGUGCAAAGGUAGCAUAAUCAGUUGGCUUAUAAUUGAAGUCUAGUAUGAAUGGGAAUUCGGGAAUUUGCUGUCUUAAUUGAAUAUUAAGAACCUACUUAAUAAGUGAAAAUUCUUAUAUUUAGCCAAUAGACGAGAAGACCCUAGAAAUUUUAUGUAUAUUUAAUUUGAACAUUUUGUUGGGGCGACAAGGGAGCAAAGAUAAACCUACCUAAAAAAAUAAGAAACUAAUAAGUUGGAUAAUUAAAUUACUCUAGGGAUAACAGCAUAAUACUAUAAAGUUUGUGACCUCGAUGUUGGACUAGGGAAUUGGUUAUCUAGAAGAUUACCUUGUGUGCUCUGUUCGAGCAGUGUCCCCUACGUGAUCUGAGUUCAGACCGG